rnacentral:misc_RNA from 1 species
UUUCCGUAGGUGAACCUGCGGAAGGAUCAUUAUUGUACAACCUCACUGCGUGGUAUGUAUUCGACACGAAUGGUCGCGGAGGCCCGCGUGCCUUUUUUCCAAACAUUCUCAACUGUACGUGCUCUACCAUGAGGAUACCAAACUGUCAAGUACGGAGGGGUGGUCUCUCUUUCCCAUAAAGAUUGCAUCAAGUGUGGAAUGCACACUUUGUAUCUGCGAUCAUGCAUACAAUACACCUUUCAACUAUGGAUCUCUUGGCUAUCGCAACGAUGAAGAACG